UCGGAUAUGGUGUAGUGGCUAACAUUAUCGCCUCUCAUAAAGCCCAUAUGUCUCGCGAUAGCCCGGGGUUCGAUUCCCCGUAUCCGAA